UUCCGCAAUUUUCGAAUUUAACGCGAGCGAAGCCGCGGGCAAAAGCUAGUUAUAAUAUUAUAUUGUGUUUCAUCCGAUUAAGAAAAAAAUCUGCUUAACACGUAUCCGAACACAAAAAGUAUCGAUCGUAUAUUCUCGGUCGACUUCGUGUGAUUUCGUCGUUGGAGCGACGCCAUUUUGUGCGCAGCGGGGCCACCUAUAAAUUGCUGCGGUGACGUCAGCGCCCCGCAUUUUAAAUCUCAUCGUGGUGCGCAGUGGACGUGAAAGUGUUGUGACAAGAUCUUCAAGUGAAUUUGCCUGGGUUGGAUUCAGUCCCAUUGCGUUUCGCGUGGGUCUGCAUCCAUCCGAUGGCCGCCAUCUUGGCUGUCGUGGGGCGCGGUCGCUGCUUACACAACAAUGGGUUUGUAACGGUAUCGUGCAUUUAUUUUAGUUAGUUAAUUUUGUGAUUCCAAAUGUAAAUAAAUAUUUCAAUUUCAAUCUAUUUCUCAAUAGUUAAAUUGGAAUUUGGUUAUAUUAUUCAUAUUGAAUAAGAUAAAUUGUAACAUAUGUUUAAGUAUGAAAAAUAAAAAGAAUUUUUCAAUUGAAA